GUAGAGUCAACUUCUGAACGAUGACUGGUGGAUUGACCAUCAAACGUCCCGGCACUAACUGGUCACCAUUGUCCUAGAGCCAAGGCAAUCAAAACACAGCAUUGAUUCCUUCCUUCAGUCACCAAGCAUCUACCAGAGCUUACCAUGUCCUACUCACUUGCUAAAUGCUGGGGAUACGAUGAUAGCAGGUGCAGUCGUGGCCUCUGCCUGGAGAAGCCAGUGGUCCUUUGGGAGACAAACAGUAAUUGCUAACCUAUCACUCAGUCUGUGGAGUGGAGUCUAGGAGAGAAUUGUCCCCAACCCCAAACGCACGGCUUGCCCCCAGGCUUUCCAGGCAGAACUCAAGGCGGGGUUUACACUCUAGUUCCCAGCUCACAGGUUUAGGCGAGAGCAUCAUGAAAACCAUGCGGUGGCACAGGGGUAAGAGGGAGAGAAAGAGGAAGAAGAGGAGGAGGAGGAAGAAGGAGGAGGAGGAAGAGAAGGUGGAGAAGAAGAGGAGGACCUUCCCGUUGAAAUGUGGAUGUAUAGACCUUGCUUUGCCAGAACAGACAAGAAAAUAGUGCAAGGCCUGUCAGAGAUGACUUCACUGCCUUGUGGACAAAGGAAAUCAUGCAACAUGGAUUCAUCUCAAAAAGCCUUGGAGAAUUCUGGAAUCCUUUAACAGAAUGGAAACCUCGACCAGCAAAGUGAGCUAAUAAUGGAAGCACCGAGUCUAUGACUCACAAAUGAUUUUAAACCCAUGAUUUUCAGCUCGUUGGCCUCGAAAUCAAAUACUGAGACCAAAUGUCAGAGACCAUUUCACAAUUCUGACUUCUCAUUCAAGAUCAAUAGCAGCGGUCUUCUCAUUGCAAGCAGGAUAGGCACCUAGUCCUGGCUGCUUAGAGAUGGAGCUGGAGAGGGGCAGAGGCUUUUGCUUGGCUUUGUUUCAUUGUUGCUGUUGUUCUGUGUGUGUUUUAAAAGAAGCUUAUUCCAAUUAAGCAAGCACAUAAGUGGAUUCUAGAAAGACCACAGCACAGUCUAUCUCUUUAUGCCCUACCUACUUUUACUGAACUCAUACACCACCCACAG
rnacentral:lncRNA from 1 species